rnacentral:rRNA from 1 species
ACUCCUACGGGAGGCAGCAGUGGGGAAUAUUGGACAAUGGGCGAAAGCCUGAUCCAGCCAUGCCGCGUGUGUGAAGAAGGYCUUCGGAUUGUAAAGCACUUUAAGUUGGGAGGAAGGGCAGUUAGCGAAUACCUUGCUGUUUUGACGUUACCGACAGAAUAAGCACCGGCUAACUCUGUGCCAGCAGCCGCGGUAAUA